rnacentral:lncRNA from 1 species
UUGGUGAGCCCGCAAAACCAACAAAGGUUUUUGGUGAACCCGGAAAACCAAAGUGUAAAGGUUCGUUGGUGAGCCCGUAAAACCAACAAAGAUUUUUGGAUCGUGAUCCCGGAAAACAAUCCAACUGUAAUCCGCGGGAUUAUAGUGAAUUCCCAAGGGGUCGCUUGGGGAGUGGACGUAGGUGCUAAGGAGAGCACCGAACC